rnacentral:antisense_RNA from 1 species
GACGCCUAAUUUUGUAUUUUUUUUUUUUUUUUUUUAGAGAUGGGGUCUUGCUAUGUUGCCCAGGCUUGUCUCCAACUCAGCUCAAGCAAUCCUCCCACCUCAGUCACUGGGAGUUAAGAGCUGUCUGGGACUUAGCGAAGAGUUACUGGGCUGGCUGUGGUCAGAGACCAGGUGUCUGUGGUGCCUCCAGUCACCAGGCCAGGUGAACUCCUCCAAGCAGAGCUCAGCAGCCCAAUUCUUGGCUCAGAAGAGGUGGGCUUUGGGAUUUGUCCACACUUUGUUUUCCAGGAAGGGCUCCAAAUGCUGAGAAUCUUAAUAAGCUCCUUCUGGGGAGCUUGUUCCACUGUCACCCCACCUUCCUGAGUACUCGUGUAUCUGGAGCAACUGCAGCUACAUGGUGUGUGGAUCCACCUGGGCACUGUCUCCGAGCUCAGCCCCUCCUCCAGUUCACUGCGCCAAGCCAGAAACCUGGGUGCACCAUGACCCCUCCUGCUCUGCACCUGCUGUCUGCUUUCAGUCCCGGGUUGACCUGGUCUCCUUCAUCUCUGCUCCCCCGCUCUUCCUCGUGCCCCACAGUGACCCUGGCCUGCUCCUCCAUCACGGGAUCAUUGCAGCAGCACUCUUCAUGCUCCUGGUCACUUCCUCCACAGCCCCAGAGUCAUCUCAUAACAAGUCACCCUGCCUUAACAGUUUCCACGUCACACAAACAGCUUGAGAGAGGCUGUGCAACUCACCCACAGCAGCCUCGAUCUGGGCCUCCUCCUAUGUGCCCCUGUUCAGACCCCUGCUCUGUGAACUUGGCGGACCCAUGUCCACUAAAGUGCUGAGGAAGUGACAGCGUGUGAUUUCUGAGGCUAGAUCAUAAAGAGCACAGCAGUUCUCACCUCACUCUUCUGCCUGGGUUACUGCAGAGUAAGCCAGCUACCAGUAAGCCACCCCAGCAACCCUUUGGAGAGGCACGCGUGGAAAGCAGCCAAGGCCCUGGUGGUCCCCGGCCUCCUUGCCGUGUGAGUGAACCGUGCUGGAAGUGGGUUUUCUGGCUCCAGACCUCAGACGCUGCAGCCUGUAUGGCGUCUUCCCUGAGACCUCAUAUGACCUCAAACUCAUACACUGGGUUUGUGGAAGGGAGCAGAUAACCUCUCUGUUUCCAGGUCUUCAGACUAAGAGGAACUGGACACCAGGAGCCUCAUACCAGGACUGCCCAGCCGAGCCACUCGAUUCCUGACCCACAUGGCCCUUGAGAUGACAAGUGAUUGCUGCUUAAAGUCACUGAGUUCUGGAGUAAUUUACAUCACGGCAAUAGGUAACUAAUGCAGAUUCUGGUACCUGGAAAAGGAGUGGUGACAUAAAACAGCUCUAUAGAUGUGGGCAUGGCCUCAGAACUGGCCACAGGCAGGAGCCGGAAGGACUCUGUGGAAAGCAUGAGUGUCUAAGG